CUACUAGCCUACGACGGGUACGGGUUGUGAGAGCAAGAGCCCGGAGAUGGAUUCUGAGACACGAAUCCAGGCCCUACGGGGUGCAGCAGGCGCGAAAACUUUACAAUGCUGGCAACAGCGAUAAGGGAACCUCGAGUGCCAGGUUACAAAUCUGGCUGUCGAGAUGCCUAAAAAGCAUUUCAUAGCAAGGGCCGGGCAAGACCGGUGCCAGCCGCCGCGGUAACACCGGCGGCUCGAGUGGUAACCGUUAUUAUUGGGUCUAAAGGGUCUGUAGCCGGCCGGAUAAGUCUCUUGAGAAAUCUGGCAGCUUAACUGUCAGGCUUUCAGGAGAUACUGUCUGGCUCGAGGCCGGGAGAGGUGAGAGGUACUUCAGGGGUAGGGGUGAAAUCUUGUAAUCCUUGAAGGACCACCAGUGGCGAAGGCGUCUCACCAGAACGGACCUGACGGCAAGGGACGAAAGCUAGGGGCACGAACCGGAUUAGAUACCCGGGUAGUCCUAGCCGUAAACGAUACUCGCUAGGUGUCGGCCACGGUGCGACCGUUGUCGGUGCCGUAGGGAAGCCGUGAAGC
rnacentral:rRNA from 1 species